GACGAACGCUGGCGGCGUGCUUAACACAUGCAAGUCGAACGGAAAGGCCCUGCUUUUGUGGGGUGCUCGAGUGGCGAACGGGUGAGUAACACGUGAGUAACCUGCCCUUGACUUUGGGAUAACUUCAGGAAACUGGGGCUAAUACCGGAUAGGAGCUCCUGCUGCAUGGUGGGGGUUGGAAAGUUUCGGCGGUUGGGGAUGGACUCGCGGCUUAUCAGCUUGUUGGUGGGGUAGUGGCUUACCAAGGCUUCGACGGGUAGCCGGCCUGAGAGGGUGACCGGCCACAUUGGGACUGCGAUACGGCCCAGACUCCUACGGGAGGCAGCAGUGGGGAAUAUUGCACAAUGGGCGGAAGCCUGAUGCAGCAACGCCGCGUGCGGGAUGACGGCCUUCGGGUUGUAAACCGCUUUCGCCUGUGACGAAGCGUGAGUGACGGUAAUGUGUAAAGAAGCACCGGCUAACUACGUG
rnacentral:rRNA from 1 species